rnacentral:rRNA from 1 species
CUCCGGUUGAUCCCGCCGGACCCGACUGCUAUCAGAGUGGGACUAAGCCAUGCGAGUCAACGUAGCAAUACGUGGCAUACGGCUCAGUAACACGUAGUCAACAUGCCCAGGGGACGAGGAUAACCUCGGGAAACUGAGGAUAAACCUCGAUAGGCCAUGAUUUCUGGAAUGAUUCUUGGCUCAAACCUAUAUGGCCCCUGGAUUGGACUGCGGCCGAUCAGGCUGUUGGUGAGGUAAUGGCCCACCAAACCUAUUACCGGUACGGGCUCUGAGAGGAGGAGCCCGGAGAUGGGCACUGAGACAAGGGCCCAGGCCCUAUGGGGCGCAGCAGGCGCGAAACCUCUGCAAUAGGCGAAAGCCUGACAGAGUUACUCUGAGUGAUUUCCGUUAAGGAGAUCUUUUGGCACCUCUAAAAAUGGUGCAGAAUAAGGGGUGGGCAAGUCUGGUGUCAGCCGCCGCGGUAAUACCAGCACCCCGAGUGGUCGGGACGUUUAUUGGGCCUAAAGCAUCCGUAGCCGGUUCUACAAGUCUUCCGUUAAAUCCACCUGCUUAACAGAUGGGCUGCGGAAGAUACUAUAGAGCUAGGAGGCGGGAGAGGCAAGCGGUACUCGAUGGGUAGGGGUAAAAUCCGUUGAUCCAUUGAAGACCACCAGUGGCGAAGGCGGCUUGCCAGAACGCGCUCGACGGUGAGGGAUGAAAGCUGGGGGAGCAAACCGGAUUAGAUACCCGGGUAGUCCCAGCUGUAAACGAUGCAGACUCGGUGAUGAGUUGGCUUCUUGCCAACUCAGUGCCGCAGGGAAGCCGUUAAGUUUGCCGCCUGGGGAGUACGGUCGCAAGACUGAAACUUAAAGGAAUUGGCGGGGGAGCA